rnacentral:rRNA from 2 species
GAUGAACGCUGGCGGCGUGCCUAAUACAUGCAAGUCGAACGAGUUCUCGUUGAUGAUCGGUGCUUGCACCGAGAUUCAACAUGGAACGAGUGGCGGACGGGUGAGUAACACGUGGGUAACCUGCCCUUAAGUGGGGGAUAACAUUUGGAAACAGAUGCUAAUACCGCAUAGAUCCAAGAACCGCAUGGUUCUUGGCUGAAAGAUGGCGUAAGCUAUCGCUUUUGGGUGGACCCGCGGCGUAUUAGCUAGUUGGUGAGGUAAUGGCUCACCAAGGCGAUGAUACGUAGCCGAACUGAGAGGUUGAUCGGCCACAUUGGGACUGAGACACGGCCCAAACUCCUACGGGAGGCAGCAGUAGGGAAUCUUCCACAAUGGACGCAAGUCUGAUGGAGCAACGCCGCGUGAGUGAAGAAGGCUUUCGGGUCGUAAAACUCUGUUGUUGGAGAAGAAGGUCGGCAGAGUAACU